rnacentral:misc_RNA from 1 species
UUAGGGAGACCUACCCACUCAAGGUAUCGAAAGCACACAGCAAAUAGAUAGCUGAGUUGGUCUAUCCUAGGUCGUCGAGAUUGGUUGAAAGCUUUCAAAGUAUUACUUUGUUCGGUAAUAGAUAUUUGUUUUUUGAAACAGUUAAGUUAAUAGAUGAAAAUUCAGCAACAUGGUAAGUGCCAGACUGCUGGGUUAUUUAUCCAGCCAGAACCUUGAAAACUGCAUAGUAACGCGAAAAAUAGCAGGCAGACACAGACAUAGAGAGUGCUGAGUGCUGAGUGCUAAGUGCUGAGUGAAAUCAGUGCAAAGUGAUCAGGUAAGCAGAACUAACGAAACAAGUGUUUGCGGAUAUUAAACCAAUUGUAUAGU